AAUUUAAUUUAGUAAUAAAAUAAAAUAAAAAAAAAAGAAAGAAAUUUACUGGAGAAAUUUUAGAUACAAGAGAAACACGUGAGUGUGACUUAAGAUUACAGGUGCAGAGUAGUCCGAAAUGAUCAGAAGAUACAUGGGAAUAGAAGCGUUCAGAAGGAAGAAGGGUGAAGUCCGUCUCAGAGAAGUCAUCUCCACAUCAGCGGGUGACAGGCUAUGCUGGUAAUUCCUAUAGGGAGUCCACCUGGGAUGCUGGCACUGGAACCUCUGCACUACCGCCCAUUCCCAGGCAGGAUUUCAUCCCUUUAAGAGGACUGGCCGAGUUCCCACCUCUAGUGUUGCAGUCUGCUUGAAAACUCAGACAUCAAUAAAACCAUUAAGGUUCCAGAAGAAGCUUUAAGAGGAAGUGCCAGAACUUUGUUAGGGAAAGAUUGCGGUACUUUUAGUCCCUGAGGAAGCCUGGCAAGAUUAUAAAGAUAGCAGUGUGCUCCGCUGAAGACUGAGAGGUGGAGGAAGCAGACAAGAUGGAAAAGUUAAUAGGAAGAAGGAAAAGUGUAAAAGAGUGAAUGAAUCCAUGCAGAAGAUCAUGAACACAUUGCCAAAUCAUAUUUGCGAAACGCCGCUUCCUGCUGAUACCCAAAUAUUAAUAAUCUUUUCAGCAAACAUCAGGACUGAAAUCCCCCUCUCCAGGCUCCUCCCAGAGCUGUGCGCCACAACUCCUGCAGACUGCCUACCUCUCCUUCAGGUCUGCUUCUGAGCUCUCUCUGCUUUUGCAUCUACUCUCUCUUUUCUACAUACAGCCCUGCCCAAAACAAACUCACCAAGGCUCCCCACCCAGAUCUUUUGAAUUCCUAGGCAACCUUGCAUUUGCCUUUGUUUUGGGCAGAAACGUGUGCUGAACUGUCUUUUACAACUGAGAAGAGAAGGGCGGUGGUUAAGCCUACCAUUUUCAACAAGGCUUAACCCAGCCUAUAACAAAACCCUCAGUAAGGAUGUAACCACUUCACAACUGUGUAUGCGUGUGUGUGUGUGGUAUGUGGAAAGGAAUUUGCAGAAGAAAUGGCCAUCCUUCCCCAAAUUUCCAGCUGGACAGGAGCCACAAUCAGGAUGAGGACAGUUUAGUUCAUUUGACAGUUGCACACAGGAAAGAUGCAUAGUUCUUAGCAGCUUAUUUCUGUUGGGACUAGAGAUACUGGUGCCCUUAUGGUUUCUACUUCAGACAUCAAUGCACUCUGCAGCUUUUCUGUUCCGAGCUGAUUCAAUCUGAGCACCAGUGUGGAAGCCAAGGAGGCCACACUAGAUGUGAAGCUUGUGUACUCAGUGAUGCAGGUCUUCAAGGCUGGAACCAGCCUCCACCUGACCAGCUUGGAGGGUGCGGAAGAGCCUUUCCUGGUCCGCACUUGUCUGAGUUCACAAGCCAAUCUGUAUUGGCAAGCCUUUGCCUUCCUGAGACCAUGAGAUUUGGCAUGGUUGGAUUAUCUAUGGAGGUCUCUCUGCUGAUGCUUUGCUGUAAAAAACUCAUUUAUACUCUGCUCACAGAUGCAUAAAAUAUUGCUUAUUGAACUUGUGUGUGUCAUGUAUGUCAAUACCCAAUAAUGCUAAUGUUGAUCUUAAUAAGACAGCGUUUUGUAACCUGAGUAGGCUUGUGCGUGAUGUGUUCAGUGGUGGCAGAAGGAGUUCUCCAAAGCAAUGUAGUCAGUUGUUAGCAGCAGACAAGUUGUGUGAAGGAAGGGAGUGGUUAGGAGGCGCUCCGUAACCUGGCAUUUUCUUACAGACAGAGUUUAAGUUAAGGUGGGUUAUCACACGUAGGCAACCCUAAUCCCUUUUAAAUGAAGGUUCUGUUUAUAGAAUAUCAAGAUCAGGAUUAUAAAUCCCGGAACAAAUCACCAGGUAUAAUUAAAAGGAAUAAUGCUAGUUAUAUUUUCCAGUCAUUCUCAGUACUUUAAACUUGGUCUCUGUACUCCUUGGACUUCUCACAGGUAAGCAGAGAUAGUAUCUCUGUGAUCUAAUAGUAACCCGUUUACUAUAGUUCCUUUGUACCAUACAUAUGUGUAAAUACAUACCAGUGUUACACAUUGUAUAUGGCAUAACAAACUAGUUAAUUCUUUCAGUUUUGCAUUGCUAUGUUCAACA